rnacentral:rRNA from 1 species
UACGUAGGGCGCAAGCGUUGUCCGGAAUUAUUGGGCGUAAAGAGCUCGUAGGCGGCUUGUCACGUCGAUUGUGAAAGCCCGAGGCUUAACCUCGGGUCUGCAGUCGAUACGGGCUAGCUAGAGUGUGGUAGGGGAGAUCGGAAUUCCUGGUGUAGCGGUGAAAUGCGCAGAUAUCAGGAGGAACACCGGUGGCGAAGGCGGAUCUCUGGCCAUUACUGACGCUGAGGAGCGAAAGCGUGGGAGCGAACAGG